UACGUAGGUGACAAGCGUUGUCCGGAUUUACUGGGCGUAAAGAGCGCGCAGGCGGUCGAUCAAGUCGAGUGUGAAAGCCCCCGGCUCAACUGGGGAGGGUCAUUCGAUACUGAUCGACUCGAAGGCAGGAGAGGGUAGUGGAAUUCCCGGUGUAGUGGUGAAAUUCGUAGAUAUCGGGAGGAACACCAGUGGCGAAGGCGGCGAUCUGGGAAGAUACUGACGCUGAGGUGCGAAAGCGUGGGGAGCAAACAGG
rnacentral:rRNA from 1 species